CUAGUUGACGGUGAGUGCAUGAAUGCUUUGGUUGAAGAAAGGAUGCCAUGGACAUCCUAAGGUGGGCUGUUCAAGGGCUGCUGAAAGCAGGCUGGGGCUAUUCAAGUGCUGCUAGAGUCGAGGUGUUCACACGACAAGAGUGAAGGUGUGGCUUCUUUACUUGCUGGUGAAGAGCUCUUUGGAGGAAGAUCUCAUGAUAACAGUGCAAGGACAUGGAUAAUGUUAGAACAUAGCCAAAUCUAGUAGCAGGAAGGAUGAUAAAGAAUUAAGAUGUCGAUGGAUAAGAUCGGGGUUGAAAACUUCACAAGUCUCAAUGAUUUCAGCCUUUGGAGGCUGAAAAUGAAGGCUCUUCUUGUGCACCAUUUAAAACUUUUCAUCGUUUGUGAUGAUGAUAAAAUUGAGGGAGCUAUUUUUCUACCUUGCAGACAAGUUUGAUCUUUUGGGAGGAGAUAUUGUUAGAUCGGGUGCCUCCUAGAUUGGCUUUUGGGGGUUGAUUUGGAGGGAAUUAAUUAAGAAAUGUUUCCUAAUUGGAGAGGACAUAUUUGGAGAUGAUUUGGAGGGGAUUAAUUAGGAAAUGUUAUCCGAGUGAAGAGGGUAGAUUUGGGGGCUAAUUUCGGGUUUGAUUUCGAGAGAAUUAAUUAUUAAAUGUUUCUUAAUUGAAGAUUAUAGAUUUGGGGGCUGAUUUGGUAGGAAAAUAAUUAAGGAAAUAUGACAGAUUUGAGAGGGAAUUUGGGAGGACUAUUUGGGUAUUUGUUGUUUAUUGUAUGCUUUAAGUAGGGUGUAUUUCCAAGGGUUAGGGGGUGAGUUAUUUGCUGAAAUUAGAUUUUCUUAGAGUGUUUGGAUUAUAGCCGGUGGCUAGAGAUUUGGGAGAGCUGGAUCUUCCUCUCCAAUUGAAGAUCCACUUGUAUCUUGUCUUUUCUUUAAUAAAACUUUCAAUAAAAAUUAUCCUUGUA